CUUUCAUCUUUUCACCAUUGAUAAGUUGUAUGUUAUGAGAAAGGGAGACCAAGAUAAUGAAGACUAUAUGUUAUGGGGCUUUAUAUAUGUACUUUGAUAUUUUUGGUUGCAUUCGACCAGCCAAACCCAUCACAUGUUUGGUUUGUGAUUGGGAUCUUUUUUUUUUUUUUUUUACAGAAACCUGGAUGGAGAAAAUUUUUGUCAUUUAUAGGCCCUGGUUUCCUUGUUUCAUUAGCUUAUCUUGAUCCUGGAAACUAAUGUGUUGGGGAAAUCUAACAAAGCCCUUUAUGCUGUUGCACUUUUAGCAUCAGGGCAAAGCUCUACCAUUACAGGGACUUAUGCGGGACAAUUUAUCAUGCAGGGUUUCUUGAAUCUUAAAAUGAAGAAAUGGGUGAGGAAUAUACUGACUAGGUGUAUUAUCAUACGCAUGGUCUCAUUGUGUCCAUCAUUGGUGGAUCUCUUGCAAAUAAAGAUACUGAUUGGAUAAACAUUUUUAAUUUUUGUAAAAUGAUCAUUAAAGAUGAUAUGCCAUAAGAUGAAUGCUGCUGGAAUAAAUAUGCUGAAAUGAGUUUGUGGUCAUAGAAGAAAAGGCAAUUAAAAGAUAGUCAUUCAUAAAUUAAGAGCAAGCUAGGAGGAUGAUAUUUUAGUCUUCUAGAUAGGACUUUUGAAAAACAAAAGGAGUUCCCUUAUUGAUGCGGCACAAUCUUGGACAUGAUUGAAAAAGCUACAUGUCAAUACAAGCAGAAGGUGGGUCAACCAUGGUUUCCUCUGCUCUUUUCUUUUAUUCCACUCAAAGCUAGCUUCCUUUGUUGUUGGGCUUUCUCAUAUCUUAGAACUAGCUUAAAAUGACGAGGAGAGGCAAUUAAAAAGAUAGUCACUCGUUAACCGAGAACAAGAUAAGAGACUGAUGUUUUAGUCUUUUAGAUAGGACUUUCAAAAAAUAAAGGAGUUCCCUUACUGAUGUUGCAAAAUCAUGGUUUUCUUUGCUCUUUAUUUUUUUUCCCUGAAAACUAGCUUCCUUUGUUGUUGGGACUUCUCAAAAGUGAGAACUGACAUAAUAAAGAUGAAGAGAAGUUGAGAAAGAGAGAUGAAGUAGUUAACCUCUAACUUGUUUGUAGGAAUAUAUUAAUAUUUGGAUUUGGAAUUUUUUGUAGUAACAAUAACAUUCAGCUUGGGAGAAGUUGUGUAUAGGAUUGGAAGUGUUUCUCUGCUAACUACUAAAUAUGCAGGUGAUAUGCAGGUGACAGCCUUGCUAUCUUGAAGGCUGAUCUGAAAAGCCAAAGAAAGCAAGUAAGAAAUUUAAAGAAAAAGUCACUUUGGUCCAGAAGUUUGGAAGAGGUCAUGGAGAAACUUGUUGAUAUUGUCCAUUACUUAAUCUUGGAGAUCCAUUGUGCCAUUGGUAGUAAUGGAACAUCAAGGAGGCGAUGUUGCAGUAAUACCUCAAUCAAUUGGCGGAGGAAGCAACCCCAUAGCUGCUCUCAAUGUGGAGCCCGGCACCACCCUCCCAGAAUCCUCCUCUAAUAACAACAGUGACCCCAAUCAUGUUCAGGUUCCAUUUCUUUAUAUAUAUAUAUAUAUAUAGAGAGAGAGAGAGAGAGAGAGAGAAAGAGGUUGUUUAUUUGGUUUGUAAUUGAUAUUUCUAUGGGAAUUUUUUAGAAACCUGGAUAGAGAAAUUUUUUGUCAUUUAUAGGCCCUGCUUUCCUUGUUUCAUUAGCUUAUCUUAAUCCUGGAAACUGUAAGCCAUUGUCACUCUUUCUCCUUUGAUUUUAAUGUUUUCUUAUUUGAUCAUAAUUUGAUUGACGUCAUGUCGUAGUGGAAACUGAUUUACAAGCAGGAUCUAACGAAUGAUAUGAGGUAAUAUUUAAGUUCAAGAUAAAGCCUUUAUAUUUAUAAUAUUCUUAAAUGCAACAGCAUGAAACCUUCGCAACCUUUAGCUGUUGUGGGUGGUUUUGAUCGGAUUAGUCUUUGCUCUUAUAAUCAAAUCUCUUGCUGCAAAUCUUGGAAUCAGCACUGGUAAUCGAUUAGAUACAUAUUUUAUACUAAUAAUUAACAAAAUCUCCAUUUCUGAUGUUAUAAUUUAGCUUUAUUUAACUUUUCAGGCAAACACUUAUCAGAAAAGUGUAAGGCUGAGUACCCAAGAAUGGUGAAAUAUUGCUUAUGGAUACUAGCAGAGAUUGUUGUCAUAGCUGCUGAUAUACCUGAAGUGAUUGGUACAGCCUUUGGAUUGAAUAUACUGUUUAACAUCCCAGUAUGGGUUAGAGUUUCAUUGACGGGUUUAAGCACUCUUCUCCUCCUUGGCCUGCAGAGAUAUGGGAAUGUUUCUUCAGGGAAAUGAGUUACGUAAAGCUACAAGCAUCAGGUGUGGUUAAAGGCAUGUUUGUUCCUAAACUUAAUGGCCAAGGAGCCAUCGGCGAUGCCAUUGCCCUCUUGGGUGCGCUUGUUAUGCCGCACAAUAUCUUCCUUCACUCAACUCUUGUACUCAGCAGAAAAGUACCAAACUCUGUUCGAGGUGUUAAUGUAAGCCACAGUAAACAAUAUCAUCAUUGAAAGUGUAAUGCUAUAGUUCUAGUUUGUUAAUGUAUGCUAAGUUAUGGUUGAUUUCAUUGAUUUGGUUAGGAUGCCUGUAGAUAUUUUCUAAUAGAGAGUGGCAUCGCCUUGUUUGUUGCGUUUUUAAUCAACGUAGUGGUUGUCUCGGUGUCCGCCGCAGUUUGCACAGUUGAUAAUAUUUCCAGUGCUAACCAGAAACGUUGCAACGAUCUUAAUCUCAACUCAGCUUCUUUCCUUCUCUGGGUCUGAAACUACUUAUUAAACAUACUAAAACUUUUCACUAGCAAAGCAAAAUUGAAGGUAAGAAACUGUGUUUUGGCCAAUAUUGUAGAAUAUGUUGGGGAAAUCUAGCAAAGCCCUUUAUGUCGUUGCCCUUUUAGCAUCAGGGCAAAGCUCUACCAUUACAGGGACUUCUGCAAGACAAUUCAUCAUGCAGGUUUUGCAAAUUAAACCCUUUUUAAACAUUGUGCUAAUUAAUCAUUAAUCUAAUGACAAAUAAUUUACUUUAUCAUAUGAUGUUUGUUUCUUUUCAGGGUUUCUUGAAUCUUCAUAUGAAGAAAUGGGUGAGGAAUAUAAUGACUAGGUGCAUUGCCAUUACACCUAGUCUCAUUGUGUCUAUCAUUGGUGGAUCUCAAGGGGUCGGUCGACUAAUCAUCAUUGCAUCAGUUAGAAUAUAUGUAAGAUCGAUUUUUUUUUGCAAAACAUAUCGCUAACCCCAGAAUAACAAAGGUAUUAUAAAUAACGGAUUCGAAUCCAAACUUGUUAAAUUCAUGGUAAACCUGUUUUUGAGCUAGGUCACCUGCUUAGGUCCGAAGGCCUGCCUGAAAAAUAGGAGGGUUUGGACAAAAUACGAGGCCUGAAAAAUAGACUUGGUUAAAAUUUAAGGCCCACAAAAUCCAUUACUAAAUUUACAAGUAGUUUUAGCUUAAUAUAUAUAUAUUGAUAAAAUAAUUCGUUGAUGAACUCAAAAAUUAAAAGUGCUCAUGCGUCGGGCCUAUGCAAGGCAUUUAGACUAUUUUUUGAGUUUGGUCCGAAAAAUGGAUUUUUUUUUUGCCUAAAUCCAACCUGAUUUAAGAAAAGUAAACUCGGACCCGAUCAGCUAGUCCAUAUUUGAUUUCUUAGAUUAAUUGUUAUUUAAAAUUAAGAUAUUUGAAAAAUAUAAUACACCAAAUGCACUAAAAAAUGCUAAAAUAAAAAUUUUCUAACACAUUAAAAAGUAUUUAUAUUAAAAAACAUUAUCAUAAAUAUAAUGAAUGUUUUAUUAUAUUAAAAACACAAAUAAAUAUAAUAAAUUUUAUAUUUUGGGUUGAAUUAUUUAGGUAAGUUUCUUUUAGGCC